GGUGGUUAACACUUUAUUCCGUGAUAUAUGCAACCCUUGGGCCAAAUUAAAAAUCAAUAUAUUUAACGAAAGUUUAAGUAGAGACCAAAAGAAGGACACAUUCAUUCUCUCCCUUCAAUAGAUUAUACUCGUUUGUAAUUUUUACACCAAAUUCAGACGAGUCUUCAUUGAAUUUCCUACCACCUUCUAAAAUUCCGCAACAUCGCACAACCAUCUAAACUAUUUAAACUAAAACACCAUGAAGCUCCCACGAUGUUUCAUCGACCAAUAACUUAUCCAACAGUUUAUAGACAAAUAAGUAUAAAAGUAAGAUUUGAUAAAACCACGAUCAAUAUCAUCAUCACUCCAAACAUACUUCUCUUCAUUUUUUUUUUAGUAUGAGUGCUUUGUUUUCUUAUCAGAUUUUUAUGACUGUGUUGUGUUUUUGUUUUUAC
rnacentral:lncRNA from 1 species